ensembl:snoRNA U3 Small nucleolar RNA U3
AAGACUAUACUUUUAGGGAUUAUUUCUAUAGUUUUUAACUCGGAAAUGUGUUUCCAAACUGUUGUGUCUUCUAAACCAGAUGAAAAGUAUUUAUACUUUUUUUCUGAGAGUGAAUCGGAUGUAGAAUAAUGAUUUACAUCAUAUGCUUUACAUUAUUGAUGAAUGUUUUUUACUGUUGUUUUGCAGUUAUGAGGAAGAGAGUAUGAUUAGAGUGGU